rnacentral:misc_RNA from 1 species
GAUGAAGAACGCAGCGAAAUGUGAUACUUGGUGUGAAUUGCAGAAUCCCGUGAACCAUCGAGUCUUUGAACGCAAGUUGCGCCCGAAGCCAUUAGGCCGAGGGCACGCCUGCCUGGGCGUCACACGUCGUUGCCCCCCCAUCUACUCCUUCGGGAUUGCGGGGGGCGGAUGAUGGCCUCCCGUGCGCCUCGUCGCGCGGUUGGCAUAAAUGCCAAGUCCUCGGCGACACACGCCACGACAAUCGGUGGUUGCGAAACCUCGGUUGCCCGUCGUGUGCGGUCGUCGCGCAUCGAGGGCUCGAAAAAAUUGCCGGGCUCCGGCUCGGCUUUCAACGCGACCCCAGGUCAGGCGGGGUUACCCGCUGAAUUUAAGCAUAUCAAUAAGCGGAGGA